CGGUCCGCGGGGGAACGAGCGCGGCGCCAGGUGCGCUCGGGCGCUCCAGAGACCGAGCGGCUCCGUGAAACCGGCUUUGUUCGCCUCCGUUUGCAUCUCGGACAGCCCCCGGAAAAUGUACAAGUGACGCCCCGAAUCUUGUCGUUUCCCUCCAGGUCUUCAGGCAGCCCCGGAAAGUGUCUAAAUGUUUCCCUCCAGCCCUCCUUUCUUCCUAGGGGCCGCAGGACUUCCCGGCACGACUGUGGCCUGUUUGGCCAUGAAACCUGACUAGUAGUCAAAAUAAACGCGUUUGAAAAGGUUUUACCUGGAGACAAAUGGGACAGCUAAGCUAAAGUGGGGGAAUGGAGAGGCUAAGGGGGAAGAUUUUAAGGAGCAGGGCAGCAGUACAGUGACCAGGAAGUAAUUUUGCUGCGGGACGUGCACAGGACACCGCCCCGAGCCCUACACGGGGCUCCGCUACUCCAUCCCCAGCACCUCCCCAGCUACCUUGUAGGCGAAGUGUAACCAGAACUGUACCACCCUGAGGUGACUGGCCCUUUCCUAACCGGGGCGCCUAGGAGGCAGCACUGGGUCUACGGCAAUCACCUAACGGAGCUUCAGGAAUGGGAGACAUUCAAAGUACGGCAAUUCUUUACCCUUUCCCGGAUUUUCUCAGUGCACAAAGCUUUCAUUCCCACUGCCCUCCAAGGAGCCCAGCGAGCACGGACGGAGCUGCCCUCUCUCACAGGAAAGCCCGGGUCCUGCUGCUGCGGGGCAGGAGGAGGUGGCCGAGGUUCAGAGAGACAGCAAAGCGAGGCAGCAAGCACCGGAGCGGAGGGACUCCCAGGUUUAAAAGGAGCUGCACGUGUUCCGUUGUUGUCAUCACAAGGCCCACUGUUCUCUACACCUUUCAGCCUCAGGAUCACCACCUCCAUACGGUUUCGCUCCCUAGCACGCUGACUUCUUACUCCCUCUGCCUUCAUACAGCUGUAGCUCCUUAUCAGUCUUUCCCACCCAAGCCCAGCUGACUGCAGAUAAGGCCCAGUUUAUCUUCCCACCACGCCUUCUCCGUGAGAGCACUUCGAUACCGGGAAGCCAGAUUUCCAAGAAAUAAGAAAGCAGAACACGUGUGUUGGAUUUUGCUUGGUUUUUUCUUUCUUUUUUUUUGUUCCUUUCGCUUGCUUUAAAAAAAAUAAAUAAACAAAAAACAACA
rnacentral:lncRNA from 1 species